rnacentral:lncRNA from 12 species
AGAUAAUGCUGGCAAAAUAAUGAACUCCAUCAAUCAAACUCAGAGGAGGAUCCUUCAGAAACAUAAAGUUUCUGCUGUGGGAAGAGAUCAUUCUGAACUUUAAGGAAAAGCAAACACAUGACAAGAGGCUGGAAAAAGUGAUCAAAC